AUUGAACGCUGGCGGCAGGCCUAACACAUGCAAGUCGAGCGGAUGAAGGGAGCUUGCUCCUGGAUUCAGCGGCGGACGGGUGAGUAAUGCCUAGGAAUCUGCCUGGUAGUGGGGGAUAACGUCCGGAAACGGGCGCUAAUACCGCAUACGUCCUGAGGGAGAAAGUGGGGGAUCUUCGGACCUCACGCUAUCAGAUGAGCCUAGGUCGGAUUAGCUAGUUGGUGGGGUAAAGGCCUACCAAGGCGACGAUCCGUAACUGGUCUGAGAGGAUGAUCAGUCACACUGGAACUGAGACACGGUCCAGACUCCUACGGGAGGCAGCAGUGGGGAAUAUUGGACAAUGGGCGAAAGCCUGAUCCAGCCAUGCCGCGCGUGUGAAGAAGGUCUUCGGAUUGUAAAGCACUUUAAGUUAGGAGGAAGGGCAGUAAGUUAAUACCUUGCUGUUUUGACGUUACCAACAGAAUAAGCACCGGCUAACUUCGUG
rnacentral:rRNA from 1 species